rnacentral:rRNA from 1 species
UACGGAGGAUCCAAGCGUUAUCCGGAUUUAUUGGGUUUAAAGGGUGCGUAGGUGGCCUGUUAAGUCAGGGGUGAAAGACGGUAGCUUAAUUAUCGCAGUGCCCUUGAUACUGAUGGGCUUGAAUGAACUAGAGGUAGGCGGAAUGUGACAAGUAGCGGUGAAAUGCAUAGAUAUGUCACAGAACACCAAUUGCGAAGGCAGCUUACUAUGGUUUUAUUGACACUGAGGCACGAAAGCGUGGGGAUCAAACAGG